UUGAACGCUUGCUGGCCUUUAUUGGCGAAGCUCGUUCGUAAAUGAUUAGCAUCUCAUAUUCGAAAAAUCGGAUUGACUCAGUGUAAUAGACUAUUCGCUGAGGACGCUCUUUCGGGAGUGGCCGAGUUUUGUAAAGUAGAAGCUUCUAAUUCUAUUAGUCAACUUUAGAUUAGACCUCAGAUCAGGCAGGAUUACCCGCUGAACUUAAGCAUAUCAAUAAGCGGAGGAAAAGAAACUAACAAGGAUUCCCCUAGUAACGGCGAGUGAAGCGGGAAGAGCUCAAAUUUGUAAUCUGGCACUUUCAGUGUCCGAGUUGUAAUCUCGAGAAGUGUUUUCCGCGCCGGACUGCAUACAAGUCUGUUGGAAUACAGCGUCAUAGUGGUGAGAACCCCGUAACUGAUGCAGAUGCCCGGUGCUUUGUGAUACACUUUCGAAGAGUCGAGUUGUUUGGGAAUGCAGCUCAAAUUGGGUGGUAAAUUCCAUCUAAAGCUAAAUAUUGGCGAGAGACCGAUAGCGAACAAGUACCGUGAGGGAAAGAUGAAAAGCACUUUGGAAAGAGAGUUAACAGUACGUGAAAUUGUUGGAAGGGAAACGAUUGAAGUCAGACUUGUUAUCUGGAGUUCAGCCUUUCGGUGUACUCUCCAGUUUACAGGCCAGCAUCAGUUUUCGGGGCGGGAAAAUCGUAAUUUGAAGGUAGCAGCCUAGCUGUGUUAUAGCUUUUUACUGGAUUCCGCUUUGGGGACUGAGGAACGCAGUGUGCUUUUAGCAAUACCCUCGGGUAUUCACAC
rnacentral:rRNA from 1 species